GUGUAGGGUGUAGAGCCUGACCUUAGCUACCGUCAUUGGUCGAUAGUAAUCUCUGUAAACAUUUAAUUGGUCAGUCAGUCACCUCAAUAGCGCAAACUUCCUUGUUUAGUGUAAGUUCACUGACUAAUUCAAACGUAAAUUUCCAUGUUUUUGUCUCGGUUGAGAUCAACAUGAAGCUGAGUGCCUGACCUGCAAAGCAGGCACUUACGUGUCGGUCGCAAAUAAAGGUGCCAACGACCUACAGGUAGGCUACACAAUGUUCAGCAAAGCAUCGAACGGCAGCGAGGGGUGAGAGCUCAUCAGCUAAAACACGGUCCCUGGCACCAGUAAA